rnacentral:rRNA from 1 species
GGGUCAGUAGGUUGGUCGUGCCACCGGUACGUACUGGUCUCACUGAUUCCUCCUUCCUGAAGAACCGUAAUGCCAUUAAUUUGGUGUUGCAGGGAAACAGGACUGUUACUUUGAAAAAAUUAGAGUGUUUAAAGCAAGCUAACGCUUGAAUACAUUAGCAUGGAAUAAUGAAAUAGGACGAUCGAUCCUAUUUUGUUGGUUUCUAGGAUUGACGUAAUGAUUAAUAGAAUAGUUGGG